AGAGAUGUGUGAUGACGCAUAUCAAUAAGCGGAGGAAAAGAAACUAACAAGGAUUCCCCUAGUAACGGCGAGUGAAGCGGGAAGAGCUCAAAUUUGAAAUCUUAAAGGGUUUCCCUUUACGAAUUGUAGUUUAAAGAAGUGUUUUCUGUUGGAGUUUCGGUAAAAGUUCUUUGGAAUAGGACAUCAUAGAGGGUGAGAAUCCCGUAUUUGACCGUUACUUUCCAGCUGUGUGAUACACUUUCAAAGAGUCGGAUUGUUUGGGAAUGCAGUCCAAGAUGGGUGGUAAAUUUCAUCUAAAGCUAAAUAUUGGCGAGAGACCGAUAGCGAACAAGUACCGUGAGGGAAAGAUGAAAAGAACUUUGAAAAGAGAGUUAAACAGUACGUGAAAUUGUCAAAAGGGAAGCGUUUGACACCAGUGUUGUUUAGUUGAAAAUCAAUUCAAUAGUUUUUGAUUCUAAGUGGUAUUGACUUCAUCAGCUUGCUGCUUUCUUCUCAGAAAUUAUUGAAUGCACUUUUCAGUUAACAAGUCAACAUCAAUUUCUUUUGUUGUAAAAGGGUAAGAGGAAGGUGGCUUGCGCUUCGGCUCAAGUGUUUAUAGCCUUUUAUCUCUGCAAUCGGAGAGAUUGAGGUCUGCAGCGUAGAUCCUUCGGGGUUAGAUACAUUGGUGCUAAGCUAUAGCCUUGUAUAGACAACUUGUUGACUAUGCUCAGUCAUGUAGCUUACUCGCUGAUGCUAUUUUACCUACGCUUAGGAUGUUGACGCAUGAGAUAUACGC
rnacentral:rRNA from 1 species